AAAGGAGUUGCCGCCGAGAUCGGACACCGGAGAGCAGGCGUCUUCUGGCACGUAAAGUAAGGCCGAUCUCCGGACACCCGGCGAGGCGGAUGACAACAGCGUCCUUGUAGGCAGGCUGGCUGGAGUGUCGGGCUUCAGGAGACGCGGAGGGGAACCGGAGUAGAGAUAUAUAAGCUCUUUGAAAGCAGAACACUGUUGUUUCCAUGUUCUGAUCAUUCAGAGAUUAUGAAGGCACAGUUCCUGCCUUUGAUUUGCUUACUGUCAAGCGGAGUAGACACAGGUCAUGGUGGCACUAUAGCCACUUAAAUAUUCUGAAGGAGCUAGGUGGGUCUCCUGGUUCCUCCAGUACAGGAAGCUCACGCCUGCCCAGGGGCCAGGUGCUGCCUCCAUCCACUGUCUCAGGCCUCAACCCUUCCCACGCAUCAGGUCUCAGUUCAGACGUCUACUCUUCCAAAGACAACCAAUCCCUCAAUGCAUCCUUGGGCUUUGGAGAUGGAAGAGGCAGCCCAGAGUGGACAGGGAUGGGAAGGCCAAACCCCCCAACCGUGAGCCUGAAGCAACCGGUUAAUAUUUCUGCCUCCCCCAGCCCCACACAGGCUCACCCACAACCAAGAAACACUCCUUGUUUUUCUUCCAUAAUUCUCCAAUGGCAGCACCUCCCUCCAUCCCAAGCUUUCAAGAACAUCCUUAUUUUCAAAUUCUGAAACUGUUCAGUCCAGGUAAAACUUAAAGGAAUGAACUCAGCCUUUCCUUGCUGGUUAGGGGCUGGAGGACCCUAACAUGACAAAGGUGAGAAGAGAAAGAACAUGUAUCCCCACGUGAUGGAGUUCAGGAUGCACAGAAGAUGCCUUCUAUACCCUGCAGAGAACAGCCCCAUCAGGGGAUGCAGUAAGAAGAGGGAUGGCUCCAGAUGGAAGCAGGAGGGUGAUGGUCUGCAUGGGACCUGGACACAGGAGGAUGAGGAAAAAUCUCCAUGUUUCUCAAGUGCUGACUUGGACGAUAGUGCCUUUCCUUCCAAAAGACUGGGCCUGAUUACUUGGGCAACACCAUCCCUAGACCAUCCAAAGGACUUCAUAGCUCAGUGAAAUCUCCCCUUGACCCAGUAAGUCUAAGAAUGGCCUCCAAGAUUUAUAAUUAAGGACAUUCAUUGCAGUAUGGUUUAUAAUGGUGAAAAACCUAGAAACGUCUCGGCAUCCAACAGUUGAGGAUUAAGUAAACAGAUUAAGAUAUAUAGCCAUCAGAGUGGUGUUGUAGAAGAAUUUAUCUGUGCGAGAAAAUAUUCGUCACAAUUGUUUUGCUAAAAAAAGAAAGCAGAUUAUAAAACAAUUCCAUUUUUAUUUUUUAAAAAUCUGUAUAAAGGAAAAACAAAAAUGAUAUACAAAACAUUGUUCAGAAUGGUGCUGGGUGUUGGUGAGAAAGGAAAGGUGAGCAAUCAGUAAAAGCUAAAUUGUAGUAUCAUUCUUAAAAAUAAGUUAUCACAAUAAGAUUUUUAAGAGCUACCUGGCACCAUGUGACAUGCUGUACAUACAUUACCUUAUUUAUUUCCUACCAUGUCCCCAUGAGUCAUGAUUAUGUCCAUUUUACAGACAAGGAAACCAAGGCUCAGAGAGGUUAGGUAAGUUGUCCAGGGUCACACAGCUAGGAAGUAGCAGGGCUGGGAUUCUCACCAGCUCCAUAGGAUUCCAAAGCCCAUCUCUUAACCCUAUGCUAAAAACAGCCACCUGGGAGGAACAUAAAUACAACAGUCGAGGAAAUAAAAUUUGGGGUACUUGCUUGGAGUAAAUUAGAGUUUCUGGGGCCAGAUGUUGGCACCCUGGAGAGUGAGGGUGGGUAUUUACCCCAGGAAGGUCAGCCUCUGUUUUCACCCUUACAAGUCAUAAAGACAUAACCAUGAAGCUUAUGCAGCUGGUGGGGGGAAAAUGCCUGUUUCUAAACCUUUAUGAUUUUUUUUUAGCCAUCAAACUAACUCAAAGCUCAGGGAAACUGGUGUGAAGUAUGCACACAAGUGAGAUAUGCACCUGGGAUGGUGUUAAUGGCGCCCAUAAGCUCCUCCACAUCAGAGAAGUCCAAGGUCUGGUCUUCAAAUUCAGGCUGCGCCGAGAUUUCCACAUCUGUUUUUGUUUUCAGGAAUUUUCCAAGUCUGUGAGUAUAAAAAGACACACUAACGAGAAUGAAGGGGCAUUCUCCUCGGGGGUCACUAGUGAUAAGCAACGAGGGCCUCUUGGAUGAACUUUUAUUUCCUUAUUUUAACAUGCUGCGGGCUGCCUGCUGGCAUCUGCUUCAGUGACUGACCAACGAGGUCACCCAUGGGGAUGGGCAGGUUGGUUUACGCCUUUGAGGAGAGGAGAAGGGGUGGGGUCAUGUCAGAGGGUAGGGGGCGGGAGGAUGUCCACCUAUGAGCCCCAGAUCCACACCAUCUGGAAGAUCCUCCGAUGCUGACCUGGGAGUUCCCACCCCACAUCACCCCAGGCCCCAAAGACAUACAGCCCCUCUGGGGCUCCCUCUCCACGUGGUCAAGUGCCCUCAAGUCGAUGACCAUGGACCAGGGCUCUGGGUCUCCUGCUCAUGCUCCUGGCCGUCACAGGGUUUGUAAGUAGCAGAGGCACAAUUUGUAACCAUGUCUGUCUUUUGCCAAAACUCAUGCUCUUAACCCUUAUAUUAUUAAGCUUCAGUGUUCGUGUUGCUUUACAGACAUUGUCUGAUUUUAUUCCCAUAAAGCUAUCCCUGUUUGUAGGUAAGGAAGGUGGGUCCUAGACUGGUUGGACUUGCCCAAGGUCAUGGGGGUAGCAGGAUCUAAACUCCAGUCUGACUCUAUAACAUGCAUGCUUUCCGCAGCACACGGUCUGGGCCCUGGCCCAGCUGGGGGAUGCUGGGGAUGAUCUCUGUUCCUCCUGCUGAAAGGAGGGGCUCAGAGAGGAAAUCUGACCCUGGGCUUGCAGGCUAGGCCUCAUCAUAUGCUCCCUUCCAGCUCUGAGAUUCUAAGAUUUGGUACUAGAGGGUCCUUGUGAUCCCAUACUGUCCUUCCAAAGCCAGUGCUAUUUACUCGUAGGGGCAGACACAAAAGCUGAAACUGGGAGCAUAUAACCAAGUGGAACUGAUAUCUAGUUGGAUAUCUAGAGGUAAAAGGAACAGAAAAAGAAAAUACAUGUCAGAACAAAAGUAUUACCUGUCAGCCAUAGCCACAGCAUCCUAAAAAGGAGAAAGAGAAAAAAUAUUGAAUUGAAUUUGGAAAUAAAUUUCUUUUUCAAACUAUAUAAUAAUAUAAACAUGUUAAAACUUGGAAAUGAGUAAAAGAGAAAAAUCAGCCAUGUCCCAAGCCCUAAGAAAAAUGACUCUUAUGACACCUGUAUAGUUUCUUCCCAUUAACAUUAUGUGAGCACUUUCCAGGUUACAGAUGGUCUUCUGGAUCAUCAAUUUGAAAGACUGUGUAACAGUUCAUUGAAUAGAAACUCCAUCGUUCACUCUACUGUUGGACAUUUUGGUUGUUUCCAAUUUCUCACCAUCAUAAAUAACAGAGAAAACGUCUUCAUAUAUAUCACUUUCUCCACAUUCUGGAUUAUGUCACUAAGCUACAGUGAUAUUGAGGAACCAUUGGUUCAAAAGGUCUGAGUAGUACUGAGGGCUCUGAUGGUGUCUGCCCACCUGCUGUCCAGCUUGGGUCACGGCUCCCUGGCUACCCCAAGCACGGCAGGAAGGAGGCACUGUUGGGCUUGGAGGGACCCCUGUGGCAUGGCCAAUGUAAAGGCUGUAUUUGGUAACUAGGAAGCUCUGGAGGCUGAGGGCCCCUCCCUCACAUACUGGACCCCACUGCUGCCCCAUAUUCCUGUGGGACCUUGUAAAGAAAGGAGACCCCAGCUCUGAGCUUGAAAUUCCCACAGUCUGGCUACAUGGGGACUUGGGGUCAAACUGAAGUGGAUUUCAAGGGUAUCAAGAGAUGGAUUUUUUUUUUUUUUUUUUUGCAUGUCUGAGCUUAUGAAGUGAGAUGUAUAAUGGCUGCACUUGUAACUGGGAAACAGGAGGUGCCUUUUUAGCCUGGAGAUCUUUCUCCCCAGACCUCCAGGAGGCUGUCUGAGAUGGCCAGAAAAGUUUCAGAGCACUGUUUUUUGUUUGUUUUGUUUUUGUUUGUUUUAAUUUUUGGCUGCGGCAUGUGGGAUCUUAGUUCCCCAACCAGGGAUCGAACCCGUGCCCCCUGCAUUGGGAGGCGGAGUCUUAACCACUGGACUGCCGGGGAAGUCCCCUCAGAGCACUGUUUUUGCCCCAUUUCACGAUGAGGGCACAGAUCUCUGGGUAACCAGGACAGAGGACAGUGAUGAGUCUCUGGUGUUAGCCAAGCAAUGGUGGAGGGAAGGGUCAGCUGUGUAUGAGCCUGCUUAGCUACUCAUGGCGAAGCUGUGCAGAGAGACGAAGGAUGUAUCAUCAUGGUGAUACAUCCAGUGGAAUCAAAUGGAUGCUGACCGUGAAAGUUGGUUCCAGCAUCUCCAGGCAGAGAGGGGACAAUCUAACCUACUCUAAUCAUACUUGUCAUUGCAGUUCAUUAUUUCACUUCAUUACUGACCUUAAUGAAAUCAACUUUCUCUUCAUGACACAUCUCCUCUAUUGUUUCCAUCAGUUCUUUGCAGGUUUCAAGAUUUUCUCCACAGCUGACCAGCUGUCCAUACAAGGCUUCCAGCUUCUCUUUCUUUUUCUCCCCUAGAGCUUGUAUUUUUUCUUCGUAUUUUUGAGCAAGUGUUUCCAAGAUCUCAUUGUAAUGUGACUCAAAGUUUUUUUCUUGUCUUCCAAAAUUCUCCUGCAAGAUAUAGUUGAUCUCAGCCAUCAUUUCACUGCAUGUAUGUUGACUACAGAGUUAUUUGGGGCAUGAAAAUGUAUCUAUCCAGAGAUGUUUUAGUCCCUCCCUGUUGUCUUAACAUUGCUUGCCAGGGUGCUGAGGUGGACAAAAGGGUAGCUAGGACCAGGAGUCUCCAGCUAGAACCCCAGCAAUAAUCUUAACAAGAAUUACUGCUUUCUCUGCUGGCCGCAUUUUGCAGUCCCCUUCCCCAUACCCCACCCACUUCUGUUUUAGCCACCUCCCAUCACCAUGACAACCGACCAGGAAGAUUGCCAGUGAUGAGUCAGCCUGCCACUGGAACUUUGGACCUUAACAUGAAGAUGUCUGCCUUGGGAGAAUCCCACCUAUCUUUCCCUCCUGAGCUCUCAACAUCUCGUAACACUCACCUCCACUCCCUGAUGCUUGGACUAUACAAACAUCAGGAUCACCCAGAUUCUCAUAUCAACUAAGAAAAAGGUGCAGGGGAAGGGGAACAAGCCGGGUGGUGCUGCCUAAUAGAUGAGAAAAGGCAGGAAGGCAGAGAGAGGGUUGUGCCAGUACUUAAUCCUGGAAGGCAGUGGGUAAGAAACAUUAAUUAAAGCAUAUCAAAUCCUGGUCCCCGUAAAUUAGAUUGGAAGCCCAGGAGAGCUCUGUGGGUUCUGAUUUAUACCAUCCUUAUUAGAUAACAGAGACAUUUCCAAAGAAGAGGCUCUUAUCAAUCAUUCAGGGAGUAUUUACUGAGCACCUACUGUGUACACAUUCUAAGACUUGCUCAGAAUGGUGGAAGAGAGGGAAAAGCAGUAGGUGACCCCCACCAGUGUUGAGUGUAAAAGGAAGAGCUUAGAGUCCUCACUGAGGGUGAAGCUGCUCUGAUCUGAGAGUGAGCUGGCAGUACAGAGGGUAGGGAGUUCUGUCCUGGCUGUUGUAUACUUGCCCUCCUACCACCCACCACCCUAUGCUUAGAUGUAAGGGCUUCUUGUCCCUUCUCUGUGCCUUCCAUAGAGAAUUAGUGGAAUAGCUGCCCUCCCUUUUAAGACUGGGGGUGGGGAGGAAAGUCUAGCUUCACGGGAAGGGGGCCCAGGGCUUAGUUCAUUCCUAUGAGUUGCUCCUGUUGAUACAAUCUGAGGCUGCAUUAAUAGAAGGAGAGCAUCCACAUGAAGAGAGGGGACACAGGAAGUCCUCUGGUCCUUAUGUCUGGGCUACCUCAUCUGGAUGGCUAGGUUGCAUGCUGGUAUCACAGCAGUGGACUUCACACCUACUAGGCACACCCAGGGGACCGUGACAUGUUUGGUGACAGGCACAGAAACUUAUUGAUCUUGUGAGAAAUAGGUAACAGCCGGGAAACACUUAUCAAUGACAGGAUGGGUGUCUUGCAAUGCCUUAUCAGACUGGCCCAUGAAGGAGUCCCACCUUGUAGUAGGACCGGAGCUAUAAAGACACCGAAGACCCAGCCCAUGAGAGCUAAUAGUUCAGUAGGGAAUGCUGCCAGGUAAUCAUUUCCACAGCUGCAUGCCCACUGUGCUACGGAAGGGCAGAAAGAGGGGUGAGGGAAGAGGAGCAGUACUGACACCAUAUGUUCCAAGAGAACAGAUUCCUUAACUCAUACCAGACACAGCUGAUGGAAGCAAUGUGUAUCUGACUGGGUCAUCAAGCGCGCUCUUACCUCCACCGUGAUGAAAACCUCCUCCAAGUGACUUGCAAAAUUUUCCAUCUCAAUAAUCUGCUUUUCCAAUUUGUACAUGUUUUUGUGAAUUUCAUCCUAUCAAACAAAGGAUCCCAAGAGGACAUUAAUGCUAUGUUCUCUCUCUCUCUCUCUUUUGUAGAAGGCAUUUUAGAUUUAUUCCCUGCCUACAUACUUGAGAUUCAAAUGCAAUAUCCAGAGAAACGAGGACUAGGGCGAUCUAUUUACCUUGGCACUUUCCAGUGCUUUACCGAGCGGGGUCACCUCAUGCUCCUUGUGCUCAACAAGAACCUUCCCCGAUGCUCUUAUUGGAGUUUUGCAAGUGACACAGAAGACAUCGGCAGCUUCUUCCUCGUCCUCCUCCUCUGGGAUAACGUAGCACUCAUACUCCUCACUGGCAUGGCCGUGGGUGUACCGAUAGGCUUCCCGCAAGUCCCGGCAGUGGCCUGCCGAGCCCCAUGCCCCGAAGCCCAGGUCCUCAGCCUUCGCAGCCUCGCCACUAAGUCUCCAGUCUCUCUGCUCCCUCAGUGGCUCUCUCCCCAUCAUCAUAUAAGGAGGAUACUCUGAAACCUCUAUUCUGGGCGUGCUUUUGUCAAUAAACUCAUCCCCUAAUUCGUGAUCAUCUUCAAGUCCAUAUAGAUGGACAAGUUCAUCCACUUCCUCUCCAAGGUCUCUCUGAGCCUUCCCUUGCAUGGGCUGUCUUGGCUCAUUGGUCAUUUCGGCUUGAACUACUUCUCUUCUCAUCUGAGUGUCUUCUUCUGGGAAGAUCUGCAGUCUGUCUUCAGAGUCAUACAGAUCCAUGUGACGAAAGUGGAAGUCCUUGGAAGCAGCGGGCCUGCCCAGCCCUGGUGCUUCUCCCGCCUCCCCCUCCAUCGUAGCUCUGGGCAGCACUUCUGCACAAGCAGGAUUCUUCCUGGACAGUUCUUAGUGGAUACACUGGAUCCUAGAACACAAAACCCCAUUUAUGAGAAGGUCGUUGCAGUAGAUGGUCAUUAAAUUGGGCUCAACUUAUUCACAAUUUAAAACAAAAAAUCAUCUGAGCAGCUCAGUUGUAGUUUCACUUUAAACAAUCUGUAAAGAAAGGUUUGCUUUCUACAGGAGGAUGGGUUUCCUAAGCUUAAAAGAGACAGGAGAAAUUAUGAAAAAAAACCAAACACAUAAAUUGAUUUGACUAACAAAUGACCUGAAAAAACCUAAAAACCUAACAAAUGACCUGAAAAAACCUAAAAAUCUCAAAAGGCAAAAUAAUAGCAAGUGUUUCAGGCAAUUAUUAUUAAACAAAUUAUAUGAAUUAAUUGGAAAGAAAAAUCUCAGUAGGUUACUGAGCAAUGAGAAUUUACAAAAUAAUUUCUUUUGCAUAUAAUAUUACCUGUACAAAAACAUUUGGAAAAUAGUUCAUCCUUAUGAGUAGCAGAGAACAAAUGAGUCGAUUCCAUUUUGCCUUUUGAUACCCAAGGCUGAGUAAGGGUCCAGUGAAGUGAGUACUCUUACAUGUUGUUGGUUAGAAUAUGCACGGCCCCACCUUUCUGGAAAACAAGUGUGACAGCAUGGAUCAAGAGCUUUAAAAAUGCUGGGCUUCCCUGGUGGCACAGUGGGACACGGGUUCGUGCCCCGGUCCGGGAAGAUCCCACAUGCCGCAAAGCGGCUGGGCCCGUGAGCCAUGGCCGCUGACCCUGCGUGUCCGGAGCCUGUGCUCCGCAACGGGAGAGGCCACAGAAGUGAGAGGGCCGCAUACCGCAAAAAAAAAAAAAAAUACAGUGGAAAAAAUUAUUUCUAUGUAAAAAUGUCCACCAAAACCUUUUUUUAUAAUAGCCAAAAAAAUUGUAAAGCGCUAAUGAUUAGGAGAAUGGUUAAGUAAAGAAGGAAAUGUACACCCUGUAGAAUAUAAUGUAGCCUUUAAAAUAUUAGGGAGAGCAAAUGAUAGCUUGGAGAAAGACUUACUGUAUGAUACUAAGUAAAAUAAACAGAGUACUCAUUAUGUAGAGACUAUGAGGUCCACUAUUUUAAUGGAGGUACACAAAAUCUAGAAAGAAAGAAUAAUAGUAGCAGUAAACACAAUAUUAGUAGUAGCUACUACAUAUUGAGCACUUACUGUAUGCUUUUUCUGUGAUAUAAUUGCUUUACAAUGGUGUAUUAGUUUCUGCUUUAUAACAAAGUGAAUCAGCUAUACAUAUACAUAUACCCCAUAUCUCCUCCCUCUUGCGUCUCCCUCCCACCCUCCCUAUCCCACCCCUCUAGGUGGUCACAAAGCACUGAGCUGAUCUUCCUGUGCUAUGCGGCUGCUUCCCACUAGCUAUCUGUUUUACAUUUGGUAGUGUAUAUAUGCCCAUGCCACUCUCUCACUUCGUCCCAGCUUACCCUUCCCCCUCCCUGUGUCCUCAAGUCCAUUCUCUAAAUCUGUGUCUUUAUUCUUGUCCUGCCCCUAGGUUCUUCAGAACCUUUUUUUUUUUUUAGAUUCCAUAAAUAUGUGUAAGCAUAUGGUAUUUGUUUUUCUCUUUCUGACUUACUUCACUCUGUAUGACAGACUCUAGGUCCAUCCACCUCACUACAAAUAACUCAAUUUCAUUUCUUUUUAUGGCUGAGUAAUAUUCCAUUGUAUAUAUGUGCCACAUCUUCUUUAUCCAUUCAUCUGUCGAUGGACACUUAGGUUGCUUCCAUGUCCUGACUAUUGUAAAUAGAGCUGCAGUGAACAUUGUGGUACAUGACUCUUUUUGAAUUAUGGUUUUCUCAGGGUAUACGCCCAGUAGUGGGAUUUCUGGGUCGUAUGGUAGUUCUAUUUUUAGUUUUAAGGAACCUCCAUACUGUUCUCCAUAGUAGCUGUAUCAAUUUACAUUCCCACCAACAGUGCAAGAGGGUUCCCUUUUCUCCACACCCUCUCCAGCAUUUAUUGUUUGUAGAUUUUUUGAUGAUGGCCAUUCUGACUUGUGUGAGGUGAUGCCUCAUUGUAGUUUUGAUUUGCAUUUCUCUAAUGAUUAGUGAUGUUGACCAUCCUUUCAUGUGUUUGUUGGCAAUCUGUAUAUGUUCUUUGGAGAAAUGUCUAUUUAGGUCUUCUGCCCAUUUUUGGAUUGGGUUGUUUGUUUUUUUGAUAUUGAGCUGCAUGAGCUGCUUGUAAAUUUUGGAGAUUAAUCCUUUGUCAGUUGCUUCAUUUGCAAAUAUUUUCUCCCAUUCUGAGGGGUGUCUUUUCAUCUUGUUUAUGGUUUUCUUUGCUGUGCAAAAGCUUUUAAGUUUCAUCAGGUCCCAUUUGUUUAUUAAGAGAGUAGAUCUUAAACGUUCUCACCACACACAUAAAAGAAAGGUAAUUAUGUGAGGUGAUGGAGGCUGUAACUAACCUUAUUGUGGUAAUUAUUUUGCAAUAAAUAUGUGCAUCACAUCAUCACAUGUAUACCUUAAUCUUACUUAAAGUUAUAUGUCAACUAUAUCUCAAUAAAGCUGGGGGUGGGGGAAGAAGAACCCCAUUGCAUAGAAGUACUGUCUCACCACGAACAUUUGCUUUGAGCUCUAGUACAACAUCAUGGGGGCAGGGGAGGGGAAUGAGAUGGAGGGCAAUUAGAUCUGGAAAUAGAAGCUGAGAGGAUGGGAGGGUCACACUUCCAGGGGCUUCUUACAGGCCUGCAGCAGCAGCAGGUCUUCCGAGCUUAAGAGCACUUCUGUAUUCACUCCUAGCUCCUGGCUGCUCUCUCUGCUCCAGGGGUGUUACAGGUCCCACCUGGUCAGGCCAGAGUCUCAGAAGUCCUGCCCCAGCACGCUGUGGGGCAACACGGAGUGACCUGGGAGUCUGCACUCACACAGAGAUCACAGGUGACCCCACCAUGUUCAGAGGCUGUGGCGCUGGGCGUCAUCCUUGACACCGGCCCUGACUGUUCAUGGGCCUGGAGGGGUGUGGAUUCAGGUGGAUUCAAGAGAACAGGACUGGAACUUCCCUGGUGGUCCAAUGGUAGAGAAUCCACCUUCCAAUGCAGGGGAUGCGGGUUUGAUCCCUGGUCAGGGAACUAAGAUCCCACAUGCCGCGGAGCAACUAAGUCCACACUCCACAACUACGGAGCUUGCACGCCUCAACUAGGGAGCCCGCAUGCAGCAAACUACAGAGCCCACAUGCUCUGGAGCCCACGUGCCACAACUAGAGAGAGAAAAGAUCCUGCAUGCCUCAACAAAGAUCCUGUGUGCCGCACCUAAGAGCUGAUGCAGCCAAAAAUAAAUUAAGUAA